GGUUUUUUCCUNUUUACUGCAGCUUCAAUGGUAAUGAACUCUGAGGUGAUACACGAGGGAGUACGGACGUGAUGGUUAAAUCCUGCAUACUGGUCACUGUUUUUAAGGAAGAUGACAGAAGACUGUUGGCUUUUUGAAGGUCACUGUUUUAAGGAAGAUGACAGAAGACUGUUGGCUUUGAGACAGCUCCCUUGAUGGAUAAAGCACCAAGAGGCCAGACACAUUCACUGACCCAUGAGGACUGUGGUCACCAUGGUAACACCGAGGGCAAAAGCUUCCCGAGUGGUUAAGUGUCCAGGGGCACCAACCAAGCAAAGGUCAUGGAUGCUGUGGUGUGGCUGGAGAACACGCUGGAUGAACACAUUAACUGAUGACAUCUCCAUGGCAACACAACUCAAGUCAUGACACCUACACACAAAGCAGCUUGAUUGGAAUUAUUCAAAAAGCUGCCAAAAAGCAUAAAACCCUAUUUUAAGAUUUGAUUGGAGGUUGGCAGUUUUGGUCCUUGAAAACUCUGCCCUAAACCUGAAUGGUCUCCAAUAGAUCUCCAUAAUCACAUACUACAGCUUUCCUCAGACAGUUUACAUACCAGGUUCAAUGCAUAUUUAUCUAUUUUAUUUCCCAUGUUGAAUUUGUAACCAUGUUAUUUUUUAAAAGCAUUGGCUGAAGUUUGGAAGUUUCAAAAUGACGUAAGCUAGAUGUAGUAGGGGCAAGAAUGUUGUGAUUGAUUAUAUCAUGUUAUUGUUAGGUGCAUAAUCUACUAAUUAAAUUUUCCGGUGAUGGGUGUCAACAUUCUUAUGUAAUCCUACCAGACGUAUUACAAAUCAGGAUGUCUUCCGCAUAAAACUUCCUUGAAAACAAAGCAAUUGUAAUUGAAACAAUGGUCCUGUCAAAAACAAUGUUACUAUUAUAUUUACUUUCUUACUGUUUACGUUUUUUAUGAAAUGUCCACUUUGGUGAAGACCAAAAUUAGUCAAGUAGCUUCACGUGGGCUUGUAGUUGUGAAAUUUUUUUUUAAGUCUUGUUCUCACCAUUUUAGGCCUUUUUUCAUUUCCAAGCACUGAAUAUUUGUAAUCUGUGAGUCAAAGUCGAAUGAUGGGGCGACUGACCUCUUUGAUGAACUUGCACUUCUUUCAAAUUAAUCACUUUUGAAUGAAAGAGGGGCAAAAUAAACCGGAAAACCAAUACUAAGUUUGAAAAGGUCAGCAUUGAUUGAGUACUUCUGUGUGUGCCAUUAUGCUGUUUCAAUUUGUUUGCAAGGAAUGAAUUCUAUAGUACUUAUUAGUAGCCUAAGUAAAUCUCUUACGAGCAUGUUAAGAAUUGGUCUUGGCAGUUAUAUGGAUGCAGUUUGUAGUUUACAAAGGAAGCCUCUUGCAGGAUGAUAAAUGAGAUCACGAAAUCAUGAAUGGGGGAGAUGUUUAUUUUUGUAUAAUUCAGCCUGUAGUCUCUCGUCUUUGAUCUUUAAAUAGCAGUGCCCCAUUUAGGGUGUAGCCAAUAAAUUCUCAGUAACGUCUCUUACUCAAACUA